GAUGAACGCUGGCGGCGUGCUUAACACAUGCAAGUCGAACGAAACACCUUAUUUGAUUUUCUUCGGAACUGAAGAUUUGGUGAUUGAGUGGCGGACGGGUGAGUAACGCGUGGGUAACCUGCCCUGUACAGGGGGAUAACAGUCAGAAAUGACUGCUAAUACCGCAUAAGACCACAGCACCGCAUGGUGCAGGGGUAAAAACUCCGGUGGUACAGGAUGGACCCGCGUCUGAUUAGCUGGUUGGUGAGGUAACGGCUCACCAAGGCGACGAUCAGUAGCCGGCUUGAGAGAGUGAACGGCCACAUUGGGACUGAGACACGGCCCAAACUCCUACGGGAGGCAGCAGUGGGGAAUAUUGCACAAUGGGGGAAACCCUGAUGCAGCGACGCCGCGUGAAUGAAGAAGUAUUUCGGUAUGUAAAGCUCUAUCAGCAGGGAAGAAAAUGACGGUACCUGACUAAGAAGCCCCGGCUAACUACGUG
rnacentral:rRNA from 1 species